CGGAGGAGGGGAAGGGGGGAGGAGGGAAGGAGGAGGGCUCGUGCUCCUGGAGCCGAGCCUCGAGCCUCUACCGGGCUUUGUGGAACAGGUCGAGGCUCUGGAAGGCCAAGGGAGCUCGUGAGCCCCAUCAGCUCAACGGUGUCUUUCCUGAGGGGGCCUGGCGAAGAAGGUGGUUGAUUAGGUGCGGCUCCCCGCCUUGGGGCUGCCACCGAGCUCUUGAGGGACGAGUGUCUCCUCUUCGGAAACCCGCAUCUUUAGAGAUUCUCCAUGGCGGUUCUGGGCUUUCUCCGAGGAGCCACACGGGAGGGGCCUCUAGUGCGCCAUUGCCACCAGCCUCCUGACCCGGCUCUGGGACCUGCCACCAUUUCGGGGGGGCCUGGCACCCCGCCCAGCCUUCUCCCCAGCCUAGCUGGUGGGGGUCGUGGGGAGAUGAGGAGGCUUAGGCCUUUCACGAGGACCCCACGAUGGGGAUCUGGAUCCAGUCUAGUUGCCUUUGCAACUGGCAACAGACAUGAGUUUUAUGUUUAAAAUAACAAUAAAAUGGCCUACAUUUAAUAGGACAAA